CCUACGGGAGGCAGCAGUGGGGAAUUUUCCGCAAUGGGCGAAAGCCUGACGGAGCAAUACCGCGUGAGGGAUGAAGGCCUAUGGGUUGUAAACCUCUUUUUUCAGGGAGGAAUAAAUGACGUGUACCUGAAGAAUAAGCAUCGGCUAACUCCGUGCCAGCAGCCGCGGUAAGACGGGGGAUGCAAGUGUUAUCCGGAAUCACUGGGCGUAAAGCGUCUGUAGGUGGUUAAAUAAGUCAACUGUUAAAUCUUGAGGCUUAACUUCAAAAUCGCAGUCGAAACUGUUUGACUAGAGUAUAGUAGGGGUAAAGGGAAUUUCCAGUGGAGCGGUGAAAUGCGUAGAUAUUGGAAAGAACACCGAUGGCGAAGGCACUUUACUGGGCUAUUACUAACACUGAGAGACGAAAGCUAGGGUAGCAAAUGGGAUUAGAUACCCCAGUAGUCCUAGCUGUAAACAAUGGAUACUAGAUGUUGAACAGAUCGACCUGUGCAGUAUCAAAGCUAACGCGUUAAGUAUCCCGCCUGGGAAGUAUGCUCGCAAGAGUGAAACUCAAAUGAAUUGACGGNNGAGAGUGCGAGACGACGACGAGGAGAG
rnacentral:rRNA from 1 species